rnacentral:lncRNA from 1 species
UAGAUGAAUAGAAUGAGCAAAAGUUGCAGCACAGCGUGUCACCAGAGAGGAAAAGAAUAUCCUUGCUGUGCCAAGAAAGAAAAGACCAUGGAUCUACUAGUUGCAGAUUUCAGCAGUAAUGCCAAGGGGGCAAGAAGUGACCAGCAGAACAAUUAGGCCAUGGCAACAGAAGCCAACUACAACCCAUGUUCCAAUCUAUGACCUCCCUCUCCUGCUGGUACAAGGAUAUGAAUGUGGCUGUAGCAUCAUUUUUGGAAGCCAGAAUGGUAAUACUGAAAAUCACUGCUUGUCUCAAGAUCCAACUUCUGGAAAUCUCAACCAUUCUGAAUACAGCCAUCAUUCUUAAAAUUGAAGAGAACUGUUUUACAAGAUCUUGACUUGUAAAGAAACCAAGUUUAUUAAGGGCAAGAGCUGAUAAUCAACUGACUAAUGAGGAUUGACUUCUACAAUUGAUGAGCAUGGAAUUGGAUGUGCCUAAAUCAACAGAAGAGGGAUUUUGAUGUCAUCACACUGUAGCCCCAGAAGACAGAACGCUCAAAGGUGUCAAUGGGCAGAAUUUGUAGAUGACAUACAGCAUCCAAUGGAUUACUCCUAUUCAGUAUUCCUUAGAGCAAAGGAUGCAAUGUCAAGCAAGUUGUGAUACCUCAACUAUCUACAAUUUAACACCAAGGAAAGAACACUGUUUGGAGAAAUGAGAAAGAUUAUCAUCAGUGUCUUUCAGAAGUCAUCAAAAGAAGAAAAGGAGAAAAGAGAGGAGAAAGCAGAAAGAUCUGGAGUCUGGGAAGUUCAAGAGCAUGGCACCAACAUCUGGCAAGGGCUUUCAUUCUGCAUCAUCUCAUGGAGGAAAAUAAAAAGAUUUCAGGUAAAUCCAGAUUUGGAGCUUAAAUGACUCAAAUGCUUUGCCUACAUUGAUCCUACAUUCAGGCUGCUUACAUAUCUCUUGGCUUCUCUGAGAACCAGAUUGUCACCACUUAAAGUGUCUUCCAGAGUCCUCACGAGUAUCAGAGAAGGCAUAAUCUGUACACGUGGCUUCAUUUAAAAUGAAAAUAUCAAGCAGUGUCAUUUUCACAAGUAUCCCCACACUGUCUGAGGCUGAAAAGAAGAGUGUAGCUAUGCACACUGCAGUGAGAAGAAAAUUUCAGCUCAAUUGGAGGAUGUAAAGAUUGAAAUACCACUGCUCCUAGUUCUGAUGCAAAAUUGAAAAGAGUGCACUGGGUCUUCAAAUGGCAUAUUGACAAGGAGAAAGAGGAAAGGAUGCCCCAGGACAGCCUGGGGGUCAAGGCUGGGCUCAGGCAUGCCUGGACAAGCCAUGCAAGUUGUCUCCGGACUUGAACCACGUAUCAGAGGAGCUAUUUGAGGAGCCACAUCAGCAUACCUGCUUCUGUGGGCCCCCAGGCUGUGGUGCUCAGCCCUUGCACUAUGAAACAUUUUUUUUUUCCAGAAGCCAAAGCUUUGAGCAUCUCCUCCCAUGUAGAGAGUGUAUAUGUUUACGUCCAUGUCUUUCGCCAUGUGAACGCAUGCAACCACCACCUCAAAUAUCAUAAAUCCUCUCUCUCCCCCUUUCUGUCUGCCUGUUUAUCUACAAUCUGUCUAUUUAAAUUCUUUUUAAACAAGAAGGGAAUAUCUUUAUGCCUGUUUGUAGGGAUAUUCUACAUCCAUCUGUUAUUUACAUCAUUCGUUUUCCUGAGGUGUCUCCAACAAAUCCUGGCUGGAUGCACUGUAUGUGUUAUUAAUAAAACAGCUGUAAAAAU